UACGAAGGGGGCUAGCGUUGUUCGGAAUCACUGGGCGUAAAGCGCACGUAGGCGGAUUGUUAAGUCGGGGGUGAAAUCCUGAGGCUCAACCUCAGAACUGCCUUCGAUACUGGCAAUCUCGAGUCCGGAAGAGGUUGGUGGAACAGCUAGUGUAGAGGUGAAAAUUCGUAGAUAUUAGCUAGAACACCAGUGGCGAAGGCGGCCAACUGGUCCGGUACUGACGCUGAGGUGCGAAAAGCGUGGGGGAGCAAACAGGG
rnacentral:rRNA from 1 species